UACGAAGGGGGCUAGCGUUGCUCGGAUUGACUGGGCGUAAAGGGCGCGUAGGCGGUUUGCACAGUCAGACGUGAAAUUCCUGGGCUUAACCUGGGGGCUGCGUUUGAUACGUGCAGGCUUGAGUUCGGAAGAGGGUCGUGGAAUUCCCAGUGUAGAGGUGAAAUUCGUAGAUAUCGGGAGGAACACCAGUGGCGAAGGCGGCAUCCUGGCCCUGUCCUGACGCUCAGGGGCGAAAGCGUGGGGAGCGAACAGG
rnacentral:rRNA from 1 species